rnacentral:rRNA from 1 species
GACGAACGCUGGCGGCGUGCCUAAUACAUGCAAGUAGAACGCUGAAGAGAGGAGCUUGCUCUUCUUGGAUGAGUUGCGAACGGGUGAGUAACGCGUAGGUAACCUGCCUUGUAGCGGGGGAUAACUAUUGGAAACGAUAGCUAAUACCGCAUAACAAUGGAUGACACAUGUCAUUUAUUUCAAAGGGGCAAUUGCUCCACUACAAGAUGGACCUGCGUUGUAUUAGCUAGUAGGUGAGGUAAUGGCUAACCAAGGCGACGGUGCAUAGCCGACCUGAGAGGGAAGUCGGCCACCUGGGAACUGAGAAACGGCCCAGACUCCUAGGGGAGGCAGCGGUAGGGAAUCUUCCGCAAGGGGGCAACGCUGAACGAGGAACGCCGCGUGAGUGAAGGAGGUUUUCAGAUCGUAAAGCUCUGUUGUAAGUCAAGGACGGAUGGGAGAGUGGAAAGUGCACACUGUGACGGUAGCUUACCAGAAAGGGACGGCUAACUACGUG